UCUAUCGGCGACGGGUGCAGCUGCAAAUUCUGGGACGAUCAUUGGCUCGACGGCCAGUCCAUCGCAGAGACCGCGCCGCUGGUUCAUGCCAGGGUCUCUAAGUGGCGGCACAAGACACUUUCUGUACGCGACGGGCUCCACGAGCGUGCCUGGAUCGCGGACAUUCGCGGUGCGCUGGGCACGGAGAUGGCCACUCAAUACGUAUCCCUUUGGCGCCGCCUGUGCCAGGUGACCCUUAGCGACAAGCCGGAUAGGAUUUCCUGGCGAUGGACCACUUCGGGUGUUGGAAAUAUGCCCUAG
rnacentral:rRNA from 1 species